rnacentral:rRNA from 1 species
CUCCCGCCGGCGACCGGCGCACGGGUGAGUAACACGUAUGAAACCUGCCCGUAGCAGGGGGAUAAGCGGAAGAAAUUCCGUCUAAUACCGCGUAACAACCCGAGGAGGCAUCUCCUCGGGUUUAAAGGAAGCGAUUCCGGCUACGGAUGGUCAUGCGUCGCAUUAGCUAGUUGGCGGGGUAGCGGCCCACCAAGGCGACGAUGCGUAGGGGUUCUGAGAGGAAGGUCCCCCACACUGGUACUGAGACACGGACCAGACUCCUACGGAAGGCAGCAG